rnacentral:sRNA from 1 species
CCUUAGCCCUGAUUGUAGCAAUUGUCUGAGCUCUUUUUGCCUUUUUCAGGCAAAAAAGCGAGUGCGAAAAGCAGGAAAUAGC